rnacentral:rRNA from 1 species
UACGGAGGGUGCAAGCAUUAAUCGGAUUUAUUGGGCGUAAAGAGCGCGUAGGCGGGUUGGUAAGUCAGAUGUGAAAUUCCGAAGCUUAACUUCGGAGCUGCAUUUGAAACUGCUAACCUAGAGGGUAGGCGGAGAAAAUGGAAUUCCACGUGUAGCGGUGAAAUGCGUAGAUAUGUGGAAGAACACCGGUGGCGAAAGCGGUUUUCUAGCUUAUACCUGACGCUGAGGCGCGAAAGCAAGGGGAGCAAACAGG